GGGCCCAUAGCUCAGGGGUUAGAGCGACCGCCUCAUAAGCGGUUGGUCGCAGGUUCGAAUCCUGCUGGGCCCA
rnacentral:tRNA from 1 species